rnacentral:tRNA from 1 species
CCUGGUGGCUCAGAGGUUAAAGCAUCUGCCUGCAAUGCAGGAGACCUGAGUUCGAUCCUUAGGUCAGGA